rnacentral:lncRNA from 1 species
UUCGCCCUUCAUGCUUGUUGAAUGGACAAAAACUAUAGAUGUAGAUAAAAUCCUGAUAUUCAGCUGUAUCUCAGCAACUCAAACAUCCACUUCUUAUUUCAGCCAGUUGCAGCCCCUGACAGCAAUUCAGAGUUGGAAGAAGUAGGUGCCAACACAAAACUGGAGGGGAAGGAAGUAAAAGAAAAAACACAAAAGACGAUGUUUUCUGGUUGUCAACAACUUACUAAGUCCUGGGCAAUGGAAGAACCUAAAAUCAACCUACUCAUUUUAGAACUGCUAAUACUUUGUAGAGAUUUUUGUAUGUUUUUGAUAUCCCUUAGUAUGUCCUCCUGUGGCUGAGUAGAAGACAGAGGUGAAAAUUUAUCUCCAAAAAAUAUGUAGAUGCUAAAGAGUAACAUGCAACCCAAAUGAAAUGCUUGCUUUGUAUCACAUAAUUUUAUUCCAGUUUGAAAUAUUGUGCUAAAUUGUAAACGUGAAUUAGCUAGAUAAUUCUGGUUAAGUGGGAAGAGAAGAAGCAGUUUCUUCAUCAUUUUGGAAACUUCAAUUUUUAAAGUGGAAUGUUGUAGAUUUUGGCUCUCCAAAUAAUCAGAAUCAGAAUAGGAGUAUGUGAAUAGCAGCAUCUAUAGUUACUAUUCAACUUCAAAGGAAGAUAUUUUUCUUGUUGACAUUAACAUUCUUAAGGGAAGCAAUUGGACAUGGGCCCUGAGCAUCCCUGCAUGUUCUUACCAUGUGUAUAAAUUGCAAGGUGUAUCCAUCUCCUGAUCAUGAGCAAUCUUCAUAGUCACAAGGACCCUUAAGCAAGUCAGGGUUACCACAGCGUCCCCACUAUGUAACUGCUUACUCCCUAGUGGAGGGGGACUGGUUUAUUUGCUGUUUAUUCAAUAACUACUGAACUCUUGGCUCUGGGUUCCUCAGCUGCAGUACAACUCACUGUACGUGUAACAUCCAUCUGGGCCCAUGGGAUUUGGAGACAGGGAUCUGGACCACUGUGCUAAUGCUCCUGCUGUUGGCUGUGCUAUGAGUAAUAAACUGUCUUGUGUAUGUUUGGCGUUUAUGAAACGGUUGUAACCUAUUUCUCUUCUUCCUCUAUGAGGUUGAAGUUAUUCCCUGACAAUUAUAUUUGAAAAAAUUCUUCAAAAAGUUUCAUCCUAAUUAUUUUAAAUAAUCCUAAUUAUUUAAAAUUUGUACAUUUACAAACUUCUACAUUGGCAAACAAAGUAUAAUACACAAUGGAAGGUAUUUUACAUAGAUAACAUAUAGACCCUCUUAUUUGUAAAAAUCGUUGUCUAAAUUUUAUUUGAACAAGUUAAAAAUAUCUUCCAGUUAUUGGUAACUAUUAAGUACAUUUUUUCAUUUAUUGUCUCAAUAGCCUUAUAAGGUCAGUAUUAUUAUGUCAUGAAGAAAGGCUGAGCUGGUUCAAUAAUCUGCCCAUGUCAGAUGGCUUUUGAACCGAGAUCUGCCUGAUUCCCAUUCCAGUGCUUCCAAUGUCUAAAUCCAGCCACCUUAAGACCAAUGACUGCUUUAAAUAUUUUAUGAUUGACUUUGUUUCCUGACAUAAAUUGUGUGUACACUAAAACAUUUAUUCUUGGAAGUAUAGUCUCCUAUCCUGAGGCAUGACUCCUCUACCAUUUUCAUUCUAUCACAUUAUCUUUCUAAAGUCAUCAGUCAUACUUUUGGGAUAAAAAUCAGGAUUUUAAGUCAUAACUUGAGCAUUAUUGAAUGUUGUGAAACUUGUGCUGUUUCUAAUAAAUAAGAUGUUUUAAGCAAACUUG